rnacentral:rRNA from 1 species
AUACGGAGGAUCCGAGCGUUAUCCGGAUUUAUUGGGUUUAAAGGGUGCGCAGGCGGGAGAUUAAGUCGGUGGUGAAAUUUUGCAGCUCAACUGUAACAGUGCCAUUGAUACUGGUUUCCUUGAGUGUGGAUGAAGUAGGCGGAAUUUGUGGUGUAGCGGUGAAAUGCAUAGAUAUCACGAGGAACUCCGAUCGCGUAGGCAGCUUACUAAACCAUAACUGACGCUCAUGCACGAAGGCGUGGGGAUC